AGGGGAAUAGCUGGGUCAAAUGGUGGUUCCAUUCCCAGAUUUCCAAGGAAUCUCCAUAUUGCUUUCCAAAUUGGCUGCACCAAUUUGCAGUCCCACCAGCAAU
rnacentral:pre_miRNA from 1 species